rnacentral:lncRNA from 1 species
GAGAAUACCAACGCAUUUCACAUACAGCAGCCAUCCCAUUUAAAUGACGCACUAUCACUACCAAACUGGCCCGAUUUCAACCAGUAUGCUAGCAACGAAGGGCACUGUAGCGCAUUUCCAGGCUUCUGAGGAUCCCAAACCCCAGCAUCACUAACCUUACCUCUGGAUUCAACUGGUAAUAAAGCCCUAUGUGCUUAAAAGUCAGUCACAAAGAGCAAAAUGUGAAUUUUGCUAUUUCAGGGUUCAGCUCUUAGCGAUACUUUGGAAAUAACUCCAGAGGCAAGGAGAGAUAUUGCAAACUGAUUUUUCUGGAGGAUGUUCUUUCUGGGUGAAACCCACUCCUCCUGCCCAGAGUUUGAAUCCCCUCCAGUCAUUGCAGAAAAGCAGCCUUUUAGACUUUCCUGCAGUUGAAGGGCCUAAGGACAAUACUGUUUAAAGAAUGGUUCUCCUACACCAAACCAUGCUAUAGUUCACACCAGUGCAAAUCAGUACACAACAGAUCUAGGGUACACGCCGUGUUACACCUGGCAUCCAAGUCAAUCCAUGGACAGAAAGGCUUAGAAAUCUAUAAGCCAAUGGUAAAUAUUUAACAAGGGAAACUCCCCUUCCUUUCUGCUCUCCUCACACAUACAGAAACUCCCCUUCCUUUCUGCUCUCCUCACACAUACAGCACAUUAGGCUGAUUGCCCUAUUUUAAAGCAAAAAUAUGUAUUCCCAUAGGACCCCCUUCCUCCUCCAACAGGAUCCGCUUCCUCCCACCGCUCUGAUUUGCCAUAACAACCCGACUCCUGCCCAGAGCCCUUGGGAAAACAGUAUCUAUCUGUGUGUGUUGGCUAAUCAGAUUGGGUCCAUGCCUGUUUUAAGACAAGUCCCAUCCAUCUACCCUGCUAUCUGAAACGUGCCAAGCAAUGCCCCACACAGUUUGCUGUGAGGGAGAACAUUGCAGCAUGAGACACCAAACAAAAGUUGUGGCAUGCAGGAUCUAUUGGGAAAUGUCACUUGGCAAUACUUCAUGUGCCCAGCCUCCCGCCAAGGGACGGGAAUUGUAUCCAUGCCAGGAAAUUAGGCAUUCAGCAAGGAGGCAAAGCAGCAGAAGCGGCGGCUGCAGGAGCAGAAGGGAUCCAUCAAACCCUAGAGACACGCUUGUUCUCUUCCCCCCGUGCACCACGACAAAUAGUAUGAGGGGAAGAAAUAGAGAAGCGGAGGAAUGGCCCAAACCAGCACUGCACAGCACAUCUACAGAGGAUGUUCGGCACCAACAGGAAAUGGCCUGGAUGAGUGGAGGGGCUAUUGAUUUUCCAUUAAACACCAUGUACUGCUGCAAAAGGAAGAAAAGAUUUGUUUAGCUGAGUAACCCGUCUCACACUACGAUGAAGCCAAUGUCUGAAACCCAGACAAACAGGAUAUGGAUGAUCCAGAUCUGCAUACGGGAGAUCCA